UGGGGAAUAUUGCACAAUGGGCGCAAGCCUGAUGCAGCAACGCCGCGUGAACGAUGAAGGUCUUCGGAUCGUAAAGUUCUGUUGCAGGGGAAGAUAAUGACGGUACCCUGUGAGGAAGCCCCGGCUAACUACGUGCCAGCAGCCGCGGUAAUACGUAGGGGGCUAGCGUUAUCCGGAUUUACUGGGCGUAAAGGGUGCGUAGGUGGUCUUUCAAGUCGGUGGUUAAAGGCUACGGCUCAACCGUAGUUAGCCUCCGAAACUGGAAGACUUGAGUGCAGGAGAGGAAAGUUGAAUUCCCAGUGUAGCGGUGAAAUGCGUAGAUAUUGGGAGGAACACCAGUAGCGAAGGCGGCUUUCUGGACUGCAACUGACACUGAGGCACGAAAGCGUGGGUAGCAAACAGG
rnacentral:rRNA from 1 species